AUCGCUGCAGUCUUAGUGGACAAUAGCAAUAUGAGCCAGUGGUGUGCAGCCACCGCCAAAAAAGCCAAUGUAAUCCUAAGUUGCAUUAACAGAGGGAUACAAUCAAGAUCAAGUGUGGUACUAAUACAAUUCUAUAAACUAAAGCCUUAGUAAGACCACACCUAGAGUACUGCAUCUAGUUUUGGACACCACAC